AUUAAGUAGUUAGAAUUAAACUUUUCCAUAGCUACAAAGUUAAUAUCAUAGUGUAAAUGAAACCCGGGCCUUGUUAAAAGAUAAAUAGAAGCGUAUUAACCAUUUUAAGAAUAUUUUUUUGCGCAAAAUCCUUCUUGGAUUCAGCAGUGCCAAACCGAGCACUGGGGAGAGAUUUUCACGGAGAAAAGGUGGCAAGAAAGCAAGGAAAUUACUGCUGAUUGGCUACAGCUUGAACCCUAGUUGAUUGUGAUUGGUUGUCCUUAGGUUUUGAUUUCGUAAGCUGUGAGGCAUUUACAGGCUUAGAUCUUGGUUUGCUUCCGGAAGUGGGAGCUUGCUCUAUACAAUGGGUCUGAAGCCUAAAAAAGUAGGGAGAUACCUCAGGGUUCUCUCCUGUCCUGGGCUACAAAACAUUCACCUUAACAGACCGAGCUGUUUAAGCCUGCGCUGUGAAAACAUGACUUUCUCAAAUCCCAAACGCAAGCACUCGGCGGCAGGUGUGCCAUCAACACAAGCCCUGAGGGAAGGACAAAACCCUGGGGCGGUCACAGAAAGUACCAGCAAAAACAGCUGCUGUAUCAUCAGUCCUGCGUCAGUCAAUUGAAGGGCUGUUGGUGGACAGUGGGGAUAAAGAGGAUCUGUAAAAAUUACCUGAAAAAGAUUGGAAAUGAAGAGUACUUCUAAGCAGAUCGGACACAACUGAGUGAUUCUCAAAACAGGCCUUUGGACUCAGACUGGAAAUUUAUACCACCGGCUUUCCUGGGUCUCCAGCUUGCAGAUGGCAUAUUGUGGAACUUCUCUGCCUUCCUAAUCACAAGCAUUCCAGGCAUAUGAGGAAGACAGUCAUAUCAACUCUUCUGCCAUAGUUUCAACUUCCCUUAUUUCUCUCUUUUUAUGAUUGUGUAUCAAAAAUUUAUUAUCAAAUUUCAUGUAUUGGCACUGAAAUUUUACGAUGCUGAACAUAAUCUAUAAGAAAACAAGCAUACGAAAGAAUUAUGUGUAAGAGAAUAGUAGUGUUGGGAAGGAACACUGUUUCUGUUCUCCAACCCUCUCCACCUAUCACAGAAGUUAUAUUUUCAGACCAGAGAAAAGCAUGGUCUACCAGGAAUCUGAAAAGCAAUGUUUUCACAUCCUGUUGAAUAUUUUAGGCUGUUAGGCCAUCCAGCACUUUUGGCCAGUGUUUCCCCACUGUGGUGGAGAAGAAGCCAGUUCUUACUCCAUUUUGGAAACUGUUUCUUUGACUUGCUUUUGUUAUUAUAAUCAUAGUUAAUGGCUUGCCUCAAAGGACCCUGCCCCUCUGCCUGACUGCAAACUAAAGUGCCUUUGUUUAGCUUAUAGAGAGAUUAUCUGACCCUGCCCACCUGUGAACAGAAAAGAUUAACACAGCCCUUCCAAAGGCUGGCCAUUUCCUUGGAGACGUUUUACAAGACUGAAGACCCUUUCACUUCAAUGCCCCACUGCCUCUCCCUCUCUAUUCUGCCUUUUGACUUUAGUUCCUCAUUGAUUCUUUCUGAAGGAAAGUUACAUGGCUCAAAAUAACCUGGAGUUAAAACUCCUAGUCAGGUCCUCCCCACCAUUCUACGCAAAACAAAGAACUCUCUCACCUGAAGGAAAAACAAAAUGGACAUUAAGGUUAAUUUGCCCGGUUCCUGCUGGUCCAGUCCCUGGCCGAUCUCCAGAAUUCCUUGCCCCAGCCGUUUAAGAGAUAACUACUCCGUACAAUCCUCGAGAAGAACAGGCCGCCUAAAAACAGUAGCUUUCCACAUAUAUGCCUAUAUAUACUUACUCUUUUCUUGGGUUAGUGCAGCAGCUCACUAAUCUGACUACUGCCCCUUCUGGCCUCAUUAAAGG
ensembl:lncRNA